rnacentral:rRNA from 1 species
GCAGAACGCGAAGAACCUUACCAGGCCUUGACAUGCAGAGAACUUUCCAGAGAUGGAUUGGUGCCUUCGGGAACUCUGACACAGGUGCUGCAUGGCUGUCGUCAGCCCGUGUCGUGAGAUGUUGGGUUAAGUCCCGUAACGAGCGCAACCCUUGUCCUUAGUUACCAGCACGUUAUGGUGGGCACUCUAAGGAGACUGCCGGUGACAAACCGGAGGAAGGUGGGGAUGACGUCAAGUCAUCAUGGCCCUUACGGCCUGGGCUACACACGUGCUACAAUGGUCGGUACAGAGGGUUGCCAAGCCGCGAGGUGGAGCUAAUCUCACAAAACCGAUCGUAGUCCGGAUCGCAGUCUGCAACUCGACUGCGUGAAGUCGGAAUCGCUAGUAAUCGCGAAUCAGAAUGUCGCGGUGAAUACGUUCCCGGGUCUUGUACACACCG